AAAGCAUCAGGGCAAUUAUCAGCAACAGCUUCAACCAAGGUCUUUACAAUGUUGGCAUUGAUGUUGAAGAGGUCAUCACGAGUCAUACCGGGCUUUCUAGGAACUCCAGCAGGUAUAACAACAACAUUUACACCUUUCAAAGAAUCAGCCAACUCAGAAGCCCCAGUAAAAUCCAGAACUUGAGAGGGAGUGUUGCAGUGGCUGAGGUCAGCA
rnacentral:misc_RNA from 1 species